rnacentral:rRNA from 1 species
UCCCCCGUUUUUCAAAAACAAGUUUUUUUGGGUUUUUUUAAAAUUUUCCCCGCCCCAAGGUUAAUUUUUAAAAACCCCCGUAAAUUUACUGUGCAAAGGGAGCCUAAAAAAUUGUUUUUUAAAUGGGGUUUUGAAAGAAAGGGGUAAAGAAAAAAAAACCUUUUUUAAAAUAAAAUUUAAAAUUUAUUUUUUUGGUAAAAAAGUAAAAAAUGUUGGGGGGGCGAAAAAACCCCAUAGAAUUUUUUUAAAUAUUUUUUUUUUUUUUUUUUUGUUGUUUUUUAUUUAAAUAAUUUUUUUAAUUUAGUUGGGGUGACUAUUAAAAGUUUAAUCUUUAGUUUAUUUUUACAUUUUUUUUUGUGUUGAUGAUCUUUAAUUUUUUAUUUUAAGAUUAAAAUACCUUAGGGAUAACAGCGUAAUUUAUUUGGAGAGUUCUAAUCAAUAUUUAAGUUUGCGACCUCGAUGUUGGAUUAAAAUUUAUUUGUGGGGUAGGUUUUACAUUUUUAGGUCU